AGAGUUUGAUCCUGGCUCAGAACGAACGUUGGCGGCGUGGAUUAGGCAUGCAAGUCGAGCGAGAUCAAUCUAUUUUAAUUCUUCGGAAGAGAAAUUUAUUGUGAGAGCGGCGAACGGGUGAGUAAUAUAUGGGUAAUUUGCCUCUUUGUUCGGGAUAGCCAUCGGAAACGAUGAUUAAUACCGAAUGUGUUCAGGAACUGCAUAGUUCCUUAUAUAAAGGCGGGGAUCUUCGGACCUGUCGCAAAGAGAUAAGCCCAUAUCCUAUCAGCUUGUUGGUGAGGUAAUGGCUCACCAAGGCUUACGGGUAGCUGGUCUGAGAGGAUGGUCAGCCACACUGGGACUGAGACACUGCCCAGACUCCUACGGGAGGCUGCAGUCGAGAAUCAUUGUCAAUGCACGAAAGUGUGAACAUGCGACGCCGCGUGGAGGAUGACGGCCUUAGGGUUGUAAACUCCUGUCAGCAGGAAGGAAUAAUUAAUUAGUUAAUACCUUUUUAAUUUGACAGUACCUGCAGAGGAAGUCACGGCUAACUCUGUGCCAGCAGCCGCGGUAAUACAGAGGUGGCGAACGUUGUUCGGAUUUACUGGGCGUAAAGGGUCCGUAGGCGGCUUGGUGUGUCGGAUGUGAAAGCUCACAGCUUAACUGUGGAAUUGCAUUCGAAACUGCUAGACUAGAGUACUGGAGGGGUGAAGGGAACACUUGGUGUAGCGGUGAAAUGCGUAGAUAUCAAGUGGAACACCGGAGGCGAAGGCGCUUCUCUGGACAGAUACUGACGCUCAUGGACGAAAGUUAGGGUAGCGAAAGGGAUUAGAUACCCCUGUAGUCCUAACCGUAAACGGUGUGCACUAGGCGUGGGAGGCUUUACCCCCUUCCGUGUCUGAGCUAACGCAUUAAGUGCACCGCCUGGGGAGUACGGUCGCAAGAUUAAAACUCAAAGGAAUU
rnacentral:rRNA from 1 species